rnacentral:rRNA from 1 species
UGUCGGCGCGAUAACCGCCGGCAUCUGACGGUACCUGCAGAGGAAGCCCCGGCCAACUCUGUGCCAGCAGCCGCGGUAAGACAGAGGGGGCAAGCGUUGCUCGGAAUUACUGGGCUAAAGGGCGCGUAGGCGGGAUGGCAAGUCGGUCGUGAAAUCCUUCGGCUCAACCGAAGAACGUCGAUCGAUACUGCUGUUCUAGAGGAUUGCAGAGGAGACUGGAAUUCCCGGUGUAGCGGUGAAAUGUGUAGAGAUCGGGAGGAACACCGGUGGCGAAGGCGGGUCUCUGGGCAAUUCCUGACGCUGAGGCGCGAAAGCGUGGGGAGCAAACGGGAUUAGAUACCCCGGUAGUCCACGCUGUAAACGAUGAGCACUAGGUGUGGGGGGGUUCAGUCCCCUCCGUGCCGCAGCUAACGCAUUAAGUGCUCCGCCUGGGGAGUACGGCCGCAAGGUUG